GCGACCUUCAAUACCAAAUUUAUUCCUCUCUCACUCCCGAAUCCGGUGGCGAAGCAUCCUCUAAGGGGAAGGAGCUCGCCAAUCAGUAAGGGCGUCUCGGGACGAGACGACGGGUUCUACUGCGACGUUGGACAGAGUUGUGCUGUGCAGCAGUAGAGUGGUCUAUCUGUACUUCUUGUUUAGGUGGCGAAGCAUCCUCUAAGGGGAAGGAGCUCGCCAAUCAGUAAGGGCGUCUCGGGACGAGACGACGGGUUCUACUGCGACGUUGGACAGAGUUGUGCUGUGCAGCAGUAGAGUGGUCUAUCUGUACUUCUUGUUUAGGUUUGUUAUAGUAUGCAUGACCCUUUAUGGAUCCACUAGACUUGACCUUAUAUGUGGUUCUUGUAUUUAUAUUUCGGGUUGUAUCUUAAAACCCUGGUUUGUGCUGUUAUUGUUGUUACUUGUGUUUAGGGUUCCUAGUACUGGGGAACCCUAUUUGUGAUA